CUACGUGCCAGCAGCCGCGGUAAUACGUAGGUCCCGAGCGUUGUCCGGAUUUAUUGGGCGUAAAGCGAGCGCAGGCGGUUAGAUAAGUCUGAAGUUAAAGGCUGUGGCUUAACCAUAGUACGCUUUGGAAACUGUUUAACUUGAGUGCAAGAGGGGAGAGUGGAAUUCCAUGUGUAGCGGUGAAAUGCGUAGAUAUAUGGAGGAACACCGGUGGCGAAAGCGGCUCUCUGGCUUGUAACUGACGCUGAGGCUCGAAAGCGUGGGGAGCAGACAGGAUUAGAUACCCUGGUAGUCCACGCCGUAAACGAUGAGUGCUGGGUGUUAGACCCUUUCCGGGGUUUAGUGCCGCAGCUAACGCAUUAAGCACUCCGCCUGGGGAGUACGACCGCAAGGUUGAAACUCAAAGGAAUUGACGGGGGCCCGCACAAGCGGUGGAGCAUGUGGUUUAAUUCGAAGCAACGCGAAGAACCUUACCAGGUCUUGACAUCCCUCUGACCGCUCUAGAGAUAGAGUUUUCUUCGGGACA
rnacentral:rRNA from 1 species